CAAACGGUCCUUUUCAGGAUCACCGAUAAUCAUAUUACACAAGUUU
rfam:Aedes albopictus isolate Foshan contig70729, whole genome shotgun sequence.